GUUGGGGUGGCAGAGCUCGGUAUAUUGCUAAAGGUCUAAGCCCUUUCUACAGAGGUUCAAGUCCUCUCCCCAACU
rnacentral:tRNA from 1 species